CACCCGCUCAGCAUCAGAAGAACACACGUUCUUCUCAAGAGCACCUGGAACAUUCGGCCACAAAACAAAUCUGAAUAAAUUUAAAGUGAUUUGAGUCAUACAAAUCACGUUCUCUUGCCCUAGUGGAAUUAAACUAAAAAUCAAUUAACAGAAAGAUCUCUGGGAAAAUCUCCAAAUAUUUGGAAAUUACACAUCACAUUUUGAAAUAACCCAUGGAUCAAAGAAGAAAUCAAAAGAGAAAUUACAAAGCACUUUGAACUGAAUGAGAAUGAAAACAAAAAUAUCCAAAUUUGUGACAUCUUGAUAGUAAAAUGAAAGGAGAGCUGAAGCAGUCUGUAAAGGGAAAUUGAUGACACUAAAAACCUGGAGUAGAAGAAAAGGCUUCAAUGUCCUCAACUUCCACCCUAAGAAACUAAAAAGCAAAUUAAACCCAAAGAAAUUAGAAGAAUGUAGUAAAUAUCCGAGCCAAAAUCAAUAUAACAGGAAAAAAUACAGAAAAUUGACGAACUCAAAAGGUUGUUCUUUGAGAAGAUCAAUAAAACCGACAAACCUCUGGCCAGACCAAUUAGGAGAAAAGGAAAACUUGAAUUACAAUAUCAGUUAUGAGGGAGGUGACCUGACUACAGAUUCUACACAUGUUUAAAGAAUAAAAAGAUGAUUUAUGCCAACAUAGUCAACAUUUAAGACAAAAUAGACAAAUUCCUUGAGAGACACAAACUACCAAAGCUCAUGUGAGAAGAACAGGUCACCUGAAUAGCCCUCUUUCUAUGGAAAAACUCGAAUUUGUAGUUAAACUUUCCCGCAAAAGAAACCCCAGGACCAGAGGGCUCCACGGUGGAUCCCGCCCAAUGUCUAGGGAAGAAAUGACACCCAUGCUGCACAGACUCUUCCGGAAAACUGAAGAGGAUGGAGAGUUCCCGACAGGUCCCAGGAGGCCAGCACCACCCCACAGCAAGAGCACAGGAAGCGGCCACCAGGACAGAACAGGCAGACGGCACUUUAGGACGCUGUCACUCGGAGCCACGCUCAAGCUUCACUGCCAUUGUUGUCAGUAUUGUGGCCUCGUUCUUCUUCGAACCUCAUGUGAAAUCGUCCUUUGACUUUACACAUGAGCGUCCGUUUCCUCGCUUGGGUUUCUUUCUCACGUCACAGACCUUCCUUUAUGGAGUACACCCUUCAGAUCGUGCUGCCGCUAAGAUCCCUCCAGGUCAUUCCAGAUGCUCCCUGCAGACUGUGGCUGGCAAGAAUGAAGGAGCUAGAAGCCUGUUGCAAUAACGCCAGAGAUGACAACGGCUACAUAUGGCAGGAACCCCUUCAGGAAUGACAAAACAGAGGCAUAAACAACCACUGCUUCAUUGUGCUCAGCGAGACCCACAGAACCAGGAGAGGAAAGAAAACGGGGGUUGACUUGAGACCCCAGGUUGGGGUGACGAAUGCAGCUGGAGCCACAGGUCCCUUAGAUUCAG
rnacentral:lncRNA from 1 species